ensembl:lncRNA
UCGAGAGGUUAUUUCCGACAUUAUCCGUAGAUCCAAACGACUGACUGAGCUGCAUACAAAAAAGAAAGAAGAAAAAAAGCUGCGAUUAGAUCUAAUGAAUAUCUACUUAUAAUGUGGUGAAAUUGUAUCUUAAAUUGUGUGGGUCUGAUGAGUAUGUUCAAAUUCAAAUGCACAAUGAAUUAAAUAUUUAUUAUAAAACGGUAAGUAUGACAAAUAAGUCGUUAAUAUGCUUAUAUAUACGGUACACAUGGAAUCAGCAGCAGCAUCUAAUCCGAGGAACCCGGAAGGUUGCCUGUGUGUGACGUCACGGUAUCUUCAUCUUUAGCAAAAAGGAACGUCAAAAUCUCAGCAACAGAGGGCGACAAAGAGCAAGAAAUCAAUGCUGUAAUCCUACAGGUUUGAUUGCAGAUUAAUAAAUCACGUUUUCACUUAUUCAAAGACUGACGUAUCUGUGACGUUCAGCGCAGAACAAGAGCGACAUCUGCAUAUACAUAUAGAGUUGCAUCAUUAAUGUAAUUUAGGUCUUCCGUUCAACUAACACGAACACUUAGCGAUUUAGCUGACAAAACAAGUAAACUCGGCCAUAACGACUCGGGGGUUUCUAAGAACAUCCCUUCCUAGUUUCUAUAUUUGGAAAUGACUUCUAGGAAAAUAGAAACUGCCAGCUCCAUAUCCAGUUCCACGUGUUUAACUUGCACCCUUUUAAAGCAAAGGAAAAGCAUCGGGCAGCAGGAUGAUCAGCCACACAUUGAUGAUCAUUAAUAGACUGGAGACUGUCAGCAAGGAAUUUAGCGCACAAUUGGCGUGUGUUGCUGAAAAUGGCAUCUCCCCCUGCACGGCCCCUGCUUUACCUAGUAGCGUGACCAUGAAGCAAUGAACGAGCAGAGAGAUCUUAACAUGCACAGAGUCAGUCUGCUGCUCUAGACGCUUGCUCAUCUCACCAGCAGGAGCACGUAUAGCGUGCACUUAAAGAAACAAGAUCUCAUUCAGAUCAGCCAGAUGUUUCUUUCAGUCCCACAGUGCUGUUUUAUACAUUCGAGGCAUUGCUACUAACAAAACCUUUGGUUAUUGUGAUCACUGGAUUCCUUUAAAUGUUCAGAAGAAACCACUGGAGACCUUCCUGUUCCCUUUUCCCAGCAGCUACUUGUUAAAGGUGUUUAAAGCUUCCAGCAACCAGAUGCACUUCAUGGCGAUAGAUAAAGAAAUUCCCAUGCGCCAGGAGUUAAAUAGUCCAACAAGUUAGAGCAUUGUCUACAAUUUCAAGAUGCUCUCGGAGGAAGUAAACAAGCAGACAUGCAGACGUGAAAAUAAGAACCCUCUUCUUCCCCUCCUUCCAUGUGACUGCAGAGGCAUAUGACUUCCAUAACUUCAUCGCUUAUUAACCGCUGAUGGGAGGACACAAUUGAAUGAGUGUUUGUAGAACUUGCCCUAGAUAUUUAGAUCUCAGUCCUUGGCUGUGGCUGUUGGGCAGAUCUUCUCCUGUUUCAGAUAGCUUCACCCUGCCUGACAACAGACCGUGAGGAACUUCACAUGAGAGUCCCAUGUAAGGAGUGAACUAUGGGAUACAAAGGCCAGUUAUGAUCAUUUAAAUCCUUUAGCAAGCACCACAGAAAAACAAAAGACAGAUUAGCAUGAUUUACCAUGCCGGUGUUAUUAAAUUACAUCAUCUAGCCUACAUAUGAGCCAACACAACUGAUAUACAGACAGUGUGCAGAUGUGCGCAGACAGUGGAAUAUCUAUAUGUAAGCACUGUGUAUUCUUUGUCUAUUAAUGAUUUGGUACACCAGGCUUUGUAAGGUCUUGAAUAGAGCUAGUAUUGAUAAGACCAAAAAUACAUAUAGGAAAUAGGCCUAGGCUAUCUUUAAAAAACAAUCUUCACUAUUAGCAUUAAGGCUACCCUUACGAAAAAGAAGUUUAUUCAAGUGUGCUAUUAGUAUACUUCUUUUAAACUAAAAAUAGGAAAGUAUGCUUUUAGUUUACUUUUUAUGUACUUCUCAGAAAUGGGCUUUAUGUACUUCUCAGAAAUAUACUUAAAAUGACAUUUAAGUAUACUUGACUUAUACUUACAAAACGUCUAAAUAUACUUGAACUUUACUUAAGUAUACUUAAUAAAAUAAACUUGAAGUAUACUACUUUUUGGUAAGGGUAUGCAUGAACGACUUUAGUCAUUGUCUGGGCCUGACAUGGAUGUCGUUUAAAAAGUAAUGCAUUUAUAAAAUAUAUAAUUAAAAUAGUUUUUAUAUUAUGUUGUAUAUUUUAAAAUAACGCUGAUUGCUCUGAAACAAUAAAGUGAAAACGAACAAAGGCCUAUUAUUUUCUGUGGUUCGUGUGUAAAUAAAAACUGAUGGUAUGAUGCCACCUAGUGGUUGAUUUCAUGCAUCCAGCAGACCGAUGUCUAGGUUCAUUCAGCUCUUACCUUCAUAUAAAAGACAACAAGCUCUAUUAAUGAACCUGAUGUCAUUUCUGUGUAAUGCUGAGAAUGUGAGUGAGGAUAAGCAUUAGACCUUGAGAAAGGACGCACACCAUUUAUGAGGAGACUUUUAAGGACAAGAGGUGGGUGGGAGCUAGAUUUCCUCCUUGGCUUAGAAAAGACAACAUAAUCUUUGCCAGCUUCAGAAUUCCCAUCAUUCCCUGGAUGUUAACACAUUCAUUUUAGGUAAAGGAAAUUGCAAACCAGACCAGCUAUGGUCAUAUUCAAAGCUCCAGAAUGAUCCAUUCAUCAUGUUCUGUUUCUAUGCUGAGUAAUAGGCUACCUUUUUAAUGCUACAUUAGUCUAGGCAUAAACUGUGUAUUAAAACUUUCUAUCUUUCCUUUGGGACUUACAAAGUUAUAAGAGUUUGAAAGUAUUCAGAUUAAUUACAUGAAGUUUUAUUAUAUUUAAACUGUUUUCACAUUGUCCACAACCAUAUUCAAAAGAUCACUGCCUUUUUGUUGUUGUUUGUGAUUUACUGGAUAAGGAUUAUAUUUAUAUAUAUAUAUAUUUGUCAUUUCUACCUGAUUAAAUAUUUUAGAGCUUGACAACUAGAAAUUUGCUUUCAUUAUAAAAACGCACAUGAGGAUUUUAUUAAUUAAAGGGAUACUCCACCCCAAACGACUUUAUUCAACAAUUCCUUUGUCAAGUCUCCUCUGUGUGUCUCCAGAUCAGCAUAUGCUCU